AUCGGAAUUACUGGGCGUAAAGCGUGCGUAGGUGGUUGUUCAAGUCUGUCGUGAAAGCCCUGGGCUCAACCUGGGAAUGGCGAUGGAAACUGGCUGACUGGAGUGCGGUAGAGGGUAGUGGAAUUCCCGGUGUAGCAGUGAAAUGCGUAGAUAUCGGGAGGAACAUCCGUGGCGAAGGCGACUACCUGGACCAGCACUGACACUGAGGCACGAAAGCGUGGGGAGCAAACAGG
rnacentral:rRNA from 1 species